GGCAAUUCUCGAGUGAUGCACCCCGGAAUUGGGCUCCCUCCUCUCUGGUUCCCAGUGCAUCACCUGAGAACCACA
rfam:Myotis brandtii contig263031, whole genome shotgun sequence.